UCACCCCUCAAGCCCCUGUGCUUGGUGUUGGACGGCCUGGCUGGGCGCGCUGCCCGGCCCCUCCUAAAGACAAUGACGGCGGUCUGUGGAACCCCCGGUACACUGAGCUUCUUACCGAGCACGUACCGGAUAGAAGGGCGCCCGGACGACGGUCUAUAACCCCCCAUUUCUCAA
rnacentral:misc_RNA from 1 species